rnacentral:lncRNA from 1 species
GUUUUGAAACAGAUAAAAUACUUAUAAUGAAUGUCUCUCCAAAACAGGACCAUUUGGGCUAAGAAGAUGAGAUCUUCAGUCUCACUAGAGCGGUAUGGUGACCUAUUUAAUCUUCACUGAGGACAACAGAGAGUGUUCAGCUGUUUGCUAACUGUCCAUUAAUAUUCAGGAGAUGAAAUCCUUACUUCUGUUCAAGUAUUCAGCACAUACAGAACACAAAUCACGGAGCUAACCAGAGGACUUCUGCCCUCCAACAUAAAUCUGGAUUUGUGUCCUGGAAUUUAAAGGGAUUGGGUCAUUGUUCUAGAACUCAAGCAGAUCUAAUCAGGACUGAACAGACAGAUUCAAGGGACCUGGCAGCAUGUGCUAUGGAAAAAUGA